rnacentral:lncRNA from 1 species
AUCACCAUGUCAAAAUUGGCAACUCUGCAUAGCAAUGCAAAGACUGCCUUCAAGGUGUGGGAAGAGAUAUUCCAACACUUGAAACUACACUAUGGCUUGUCUCACAAAACCUAACAACAACAUCACACCGUGUGAAUCAAGUAAGCAAAUAUAGCAACAUGUCUCAAAACUAACAAUUACUUAGUUGAAUUCGAAAUAGUUAUAAGCACUCCCCAAAAACAAUAGUUUCAAGAAAAGAGACAAAUAACAUACAAAAAUAACUCCCCCCUCAACAGAGCAUUUGCCGCAUACAUUACUCUCCCCUUUUGUAGUCUCAGGGUUUUAGCUGUCAUUGUAGUAUCCAGAUUCUCUGUGUUCUUUUGCAUGCUAAACACCACAUUCAACAAUAGACAUCACAUAUGUUUCAACAUAUCAAAAUUUUGAGUCCUAUCAAAAUACCAUGCAUUAACUCAGUCCAACAAAGAAGAACAAAAAUUGUUCUUACAACUCUUCAAUAAAGACGGAUGUGCCAACAUCAGCUUUCACAUUAAAAGCUAUAAUUAACCUAGCAUCUCAUUAACACAACAUAGUACUUACGUCCUUCGCCUCUUUAAUGGUUGUCACCUUAUUUGCAAACUUCUCGAGCAAGAGAUGUAAUAUCUUUCAAACUAGUUUCACCUCAAAAUAUUACUUGCCAAGAGUUCAAGCCUCACUAGUUAUGUCACAAAAUUUAACAUAAAAUUCAAAGAUUGGCUCAUUGUUAUCAGACAUUCGUAAAGAUUCAAGGUAAGCUUUUAAGGUUUUGGUAGGCUGACUUUGAAAGUUACUUCAUGGAUGGUUUCAAGGAUAUUUCAAGCUUCACGAGAUGAGAUACACUUUGAAAUCUUUAUGUAUUCUUGUUGAUCCACCCCCAUUGAAAAUAACACACAAUGCUUUUGAAUUGAAAUUCGCUACUUUAUCAUCUUUGGAGCAAUGAUGUUUAAACCGGACCGGCCGGUCAGCAAAAAAUCGAUUGAACAGGGAAUUGGAAAAUCCGGCGGUUGAACCUCCAACCGAAAAAUGGGUAAUACCGGUCGGACCGGUUUUUCAAAAAAAAAAAAGAGCUUUUUCAGUCUGGGCAAGCCUGAUAAAAAAAAAAAAAAAAAAACUAACUCGAGACCCACCCCCACCCAGGCAACCACCACUCUCGUCACUCUCCAGUCUCCAAUAUCCCUUCAUGGCUUCACCAUCCGGCUUUCAGCCUCAGAUCUGCUUCCGCG